GGGGAGGGGGCAGUGUCCUCCGAGCCAGUGGCCCCCAUGACGCAGAACUCCUGGAGGUAGCAGCAGCUCCUGCCCCAGAGUGGUGUCCUCUGGCAGCCCAGCCCCAGGCUCUGUGACAGCCUAGUGAGGGCUGCAAGACCAUCCUGCCCGGACCACAGAAGGAGAGUUGGCGGUCACAGAGGGCUCCUCUGCCAGGCAGUGGGAAGCCCUGGGUUUGGCCUCAGGAGCUGGGGGUGCAGUGGGGGACUGCCCUAGUCCUUGCCAGGUCGCCAGCACCCUGGAGAAGCAUGGGGCGUAGCCAGCUCGGAACUUGCCAGGCCCCAAAGGCCACGACUGCCUGUUGGGGACAGGAGAUGCAUGGACAGUGUGCUCAAGCUGUGGGCAUGUGCUUGCCUGCGGGAGAGGUCCUUCACUGUGUGUACACAGCAAGAGCAUGUGUGUGCCACUUCCCCUACCCCAACGUGAAAACCUCAAUAAACUGCCCGAAGCAGCUUG
rnacentral:lncRNA from 1 species